CCUACGGGGGGCAGCAGUGGGGAAUAUUGGACAAUGGGGGGAACCCUGAUCCAGCUAUGCCGCGUGUGUGAAGAAGGCCCUCGGGUUGUAAAGCACUUUCAGUGAGGAAGAACGCCUGGUGGUUAAUACCCAUCAGGAAAGACAUCACUCACAGAAGAAGCACCGGCUAACUCCGUGCCAGCAGCCGCGGUAAUACGGAGGGUGCGAGCGUUAAUCGGAAUUACUGGGCGUAAAGCGCGCGUAGGUGGCUUGAUAAGCCGGUUGUGAAAGCCCCGGGCUCAACCUGGGAACGGCAUCCGGAACUGUCAAGCUAGAGUGCAGGAGAGGAAGGUAGAAUUCCCGGUGUAGCGGUGAAAUGCGUAGAGAUCGGGAGGAAUACCAGUGGCGAAGGCGGCCUUCUGGACUGACACUGACACUGAGGUGCGAAAGCGUGGGUAGCAAACAGGAUUAGAUACCCGAGUAGUC
rnacentral:rRNA from 1 species